rnacentral:lncRNA from 1 species
GCUGAGUGGCUCGGUGCUGUGCUGUGUUAUGGGUAGCCAGAAACGCUGCUGGGAAGAAGGCUUCGGCAUGCUGUGUUGUGUUGUGCUGUGCUGGGUGGCUCGGAGGGAACUGGGAGAAGGCUUCGGCGCUGCUGGGAAGAACACUGCUGGGUCCGUGCUCGCUGUCGCUGGGAAGAGCGCUGCUGCGUCCGUGGUCGCUGGGAAGAAGGCUUCGG